rnacentral:rRNA from 1 species
GUCUCUUUGUUAAUUUUAUAUAAAGAGUUGGGCCUGCUCGGUGAAUAAAAUUUGUUUUAACAGCUGCGGUAUUUUAACUGUACUAAGGUAGCAUAAUAAUUUGCCUUAUAAUUUGAGGCUAGAAUGAAUGGUUUGACGAAGGUUAAUCUGUCUCUAUUCUAUUUUUUAGAAAUUAAUUUUUAAAGUGAAAAAGCUUGAAUUUAUUAAAGGGACGAGAAGACCCUAUUGAGCUUAUAAUUUUUUUAUUAUUUUGUUGUAAAUUAACAUUGUAGUAUAUAAAUUUUAGUUGGGGUGACUAAGGAAUAAAUUUAUAAGUAACUUCCUUAGAUUUAAUAUUGUUGGAUUAAGUAACCAAUAUUAUUGCUUAUAGUAUAGUUACCAUAGGGAUAACAGCGUAAUUUACUUAGAGAGUUCUUAUUGAAAAGUAAGAUUGCGACCUCGAUGUUGGAUUAAAGUAACCUUAAGGUGCAGAAGCUUUAAAAGGUAAAUCUGUUCGAUUUUUAAAACUUUACA